GACGAACGCUGGCGGCGUGCCUAAUACAUGCAAGUAGGACGCAGUUGCGAACGGGUGAGUAACGCGUAGGUAAAUACAUAUUAGAGGGGGAUAACUAUUGGAAACGAUAGCUCAUAACGCAUACUAGUAGAUGGACCUGCGUUGUAUUAGCUAGUAGGUAGGGUAAUGGCCUACCUAGGCAACGAUACAUAGCCGACCUUGGAAGGUGGACGGCCACAACUGGACUUGGGAACGGCCCAGGCUCCUACGGGGAGCAGCAGGAGGGAAUCUUUGGCAAUGGGGCGAAAGCUGGCCGGGCAACGGCGGGGUAGUUAAGAAGGGUUUCGGGUCGGAAAGCUCUUUUGGUAAGGAAGCGGUACUUAACCAGAAAGCGACGGCUAACUACGUGCCAGCAGCCGCGGUAAUUC
rnacentral:rRNA from 1 species